rnacentral:tRNA from 1 species
GCUGGCGUAGCUCAACUGGCAGAGCAACGGUUUUGUAAACCGUAGGUUGUGAGUUCGACUCUCACCGCCAGCUC